rnacentral:rRNA from 1 species
CCCUUAGAUGUUCUGGGCCGCACGCGCGCUACACUGAUGCAUUCAACGAGCACCCGCUGGGCCGAGAGGUCCGGCUAAUCUUUGAACGUGCAUCGUGCUGGGGAUAGAUGAUUGCAAUUAUUCAUCUUCAACGAGGAAUUCCUAGUAAACGCAAGUCAUCAGCUUGCAUUGAUUACGUCCCUGCCCUUUGUACACACCGCCCGUCGCACCUACCGAUUGAAUGGUCCGGUGAAAUUCUCGGACGCGGACUUGCGAUGUUAAUUCGGAACUUGACUGUGAAAGUUAAUUAAACCUUACCAUUUAGAGGAAGGUGAAGUCGUAACA